GUACGUUUCAGUCGUGAGGAAGGCGGCGUCGUUAAUAGCGGCGUUGUUUGACGUUAGCGACAGAAGAAAGCACCGGCUAACUCCGUGCCAGCAGCCGCGGUAAUACGGAGGGUGCGAGCGUUAAUCGGAAUUACUGGGCGUAAAGCGCAUGCAGGUGGUUUGUUAAGUCAGAUGUGAAAGACCCGGGGCGUCAACCUCGGAAUUGCAUUUGUAAACUAGGCAGACUAGAGUACUGUAGAGGGGGGUAGGAAUUUCAGGUGUAGCGGUGAAAAUGCGUAGAGAUCUGAAGGAAUACCGGUGGCGAAGGCGGCCCCCUCGGACAGAUACUGACACUCAGAUGCGAAAGCGUGGGGAGCAAACAGGAUUAGAUACCCUGGUAG
rnacentral:rRNA from 1 species